rnacentral:rRNA from 1 species
UACGUAGGGUGCAAGCGUUGUCCGGAAUUAUUGGGCGUAAAGAGCUCGUAGGCGGUCUGUCGCGUCGGCUGUGAAAACUCGGGGCUCAACCUCGAUCCUGCAGUCGAUACGGGCAGACUAGAGUGCUGUAGGGGAGACUGGAAUUCCUGGUGUAGCGGUGAAAUGCGCAGAUAUCAGGAGGAACACCGGUGGCGAAGGCGGGUCUCUGGGCAGUAUCUGACGCUGAGGAGCGAAAGCGUGGGUAGCGAACAGG